rnacentral:rRNA from 1 species
GACAGAGGGUGCAAACGUUGUUCGGAAUUACUGGGCGUAAAGCGAGUGUAGGCGGUUCGAUAAGUCGGAUGUGAAAGCCCCGGGCUCAACCCGGGAAGUGCACUCGAUACUGUCGAGCUAGAGUAUCGGAGAGGUUGGUGGAAUUCUCGGUGUAGAGGUGAAAUUCGUAGAUAUCGAGAGGAACACCGGUGGCGAAGGCGGCCAACUGGACGAAUACUGACGCUGAGACUCGAAAGCGUUGGGGGAGCAAACAGG